rnacentral:lncRNA from 1 species
UCUCCACAUCCUCGCUAGCAUCCCUUAUUCCCUGCGUUUUUGACGAAAGCCAUUUUAACUGAGGAGAAACCACAUCAGUCUCCUUCAGCCUCAGCUUCACAUCUGUGGUGGGUCAAGCAACCCUUUCAGAAGCUGUAUAAUGUGGGAAAGCUUUCCUCUCAGGAAAAUGCACACAUCCAACUUUGAGAAGAUGCCCUUGGGGGCGCUUCAAGGAUCCUAGAUAAAGAACCCCCUUUCCCGAACAUCCAAGAACCUAAGUUUUUUUUUUUUUUUUUGAGAAAGUCUCACUCUCUCUCCCAUUCUGGAGUGCAGUG